GACGGCCUUCGGGUUGUAAACCUCUUUUAGCAGGGAAGAAGCGUAAGUGACGGUACCUGCAGAAAAAGCGCCGGCUAACUACGUGCCAGCAGCCGCGGUAAUACGUAGGGCGCAAGCGUUAUCCGGAAUUAUUGGGCGUAAAGAGCUCGUAGGCGGUUUGUCGCGUCUGCUGUGAAAACCCGAGGCUCAACCUCGGGCCUGCAGUGGGUACGGGCAGACUAGAGUGCGGUAGGGGAGAUUGGAAUUCCUGGUGUAGCGGUGGAAUGCGCAGAUAUCAGGAGGAACACCGAUGGCGAAGGCAGAUCUCUGGGCCGUUACUGACGCUGAGGAGCGAAAGGGUGGGGAGCAAACAGGCUUAGAUACCCUGGUAGUCCACCCCGUAAACGUUGGGAACUAGUUGUGGGGGCCUUUCCACGGUCUCCGUGACGCAGCUAACGCAUUAAGUUCCCCGCCUGGGGAGUACGGCCGCAAGGCUAAAACUCAAAGGAAUUGACGGGGACCCGCACAAGCGGCGGAGC
rnacentral:rRNA from 1 species